rnacentral:rRNA from 1 species
UACAGAGGUCUCAAGCGUUGUUCGGAUUCAUUGGGCGUAAAGGGUGCGUAGGUGGCGCCAUAAGUCAGGUGUGAAAUUUCGGAGCUUAACUCCGAAACUGCACUUGAUACUGCGGUGCUUGAGGACUGGAGAGGAGACUGGAAUUCACGGUGUAGCAGUGAAAUGCGUAGAUAUCGUGAGGAAGACCAGUGGCGAAGGCGGGUCUCUGGACAGUUCCUGACACUGAGGCACGAAGGCCAGGGGAGCAAACGGG